CGCGUAGGCGGGAUUACAAGUCAGAUGUGAAAUUUCAGGGCUCAACCCUGAAACUGCAUUUGAAACUGUAGUUCUUGAGUGAUGGAGAGGCAGGCGGAAUUCCUAGUGUAGCGGUGAAAUGCGUAGAUAUUAGGAGGAACACCAGUGGCGAAGGCGGUCUGCUGGACAUUAACUGACGCUGAGGCGCGAAAGCGUGGGGAGCAAACAGGAUUAGAUACCCUGGUAGUCCACGCUGUAAACGAUGGAUACUAGGUGUGGGGGGUCUGACCCCCUCCGUGCCGGAGUUAACACAAUAAGUAUCCCACCUGGGGAGUACGGUCGCAAGACUGAA
rnacentral:rRNA from 1 species